AUUUUAUUUGUCGUGAGUUGCAAUCUGUUCAUCAGUUUAAGAUGGAGUAAUCGAUGCAAGAAGCACAGCUAGCUUCACUUGAUUCCGCCACUUUAUUUCUGACUGCAGAAAGCGCGAUACGUGCUAUGAAGAUUUAAAAAUGUGAAAUACCAACAAAUUGGCUUGUUUUAACAGGCGUGUUAAAAAAAAUUGAAAAUUGGAGAAUGAAACAAAUGCUUCAAUGGAUUUGAUUGAUGAUGGCAACAAAAAGAGGUUAAAAAUGUUCAUCGUGUGGGACAUUUCCUUGGCCGCCAUUUUGGGUUUCCUCACUCGACUGUGUCGGAAAUAAUGCCUAGAAUUAGACACCAUAUAAAGGCGAAGCGUUGACAAACUCCUCCAAUAUUCUUUUGGAGAUAGCGAGUCUUGCCUAGCUGGUUAUGGACCAUGGUUAAAAACUUGGCACUGACUGCUUUAAUUUAUUAUAAAUUUGUUUUGAUUUUAUCAAGUGUACUAAUGCUUUGUAUUCUCUUGUUUACAGGUGUUGCGUUGAAUAAAUUAUAAAAAAGAUCUUCAAUAAAACACUUUUUUAAAUCAAAAA